rnacentral:rRNA from 1 species
GAUGAACGCUGGCGGCGUGCCUAAUACAUGCAAGUCGAGCGAAUGGAUUAAGAGCUUGCUCUUAUGAAGUUAGCGGCGGACGGGUGAGUAACACGUGGGUAACCUGCCCAUAAGACUGGGAUAACUCCGGGAAACCGGGGCUAAUACCGGAUAACAUUUUGAACCGCAUGGUUCGAAAUUGAAAGGCGGCUUCGGCUGUCACUUAUGGAUGGACCCGCGUCGCAUUAGCUAGUUGGUGAGGUAACAGCUCACCAAGGCAACGAUGCGUAGCCGACCUGAGAGGGUGGGCGGCCACGCUGGGACUGAGACCCGGCCCAGACCCCUACGGGAGGCAGCAGUAGGGAAUCGUCCGCAAUGGACGAAAGUCUGACGGAGCAACGCCGCGUGAGUGAUGAAGGCUUUCGGGUCGUAAAACUCUGUUGUUAGGGAAGAACAAGUGCUAGUUGAAUAAGCUGGCACCUUGACGGUACCUAACCAGAAAGCCACGGCUAACUACGUGCCAGCCGCCGCCGUAA